UACGUAGGGUGCGAGCGUUAAUCGGAAUUACUGGGCGUAAAGCGUGCGCAGGCGGUUUUGUAAGCCAGAUGUGAAAUCCCCGGGCUUAACCUGGGAAUGGCAUUUGGGACUGCAAGGCUUGAGUGCGGCAGAGGAGACUGGAAUUCCUGGUGUAGCAGUGAAAUGCGUAGAGAUCCGGAGGAACACCAAAGGCGAAGGCAGUGUCCUGGGGAGUACCUGACGCUCAGGUGCGAAAGCCAGGGGAGCGAACGGG
rnacentral:rRNA from 1 species